CUUUAACCCGAUUUUGGAAUUGGCACUUUGGUAACAUCAAGUUUCUUGGCGAUUAUCAGUGGCGUGAGAGGGAGAGACACGCUGGUCCGUUUUUUGCUAUAUUGGGAGCGAUGUUGGCCUGUUUUUCGACAGAAUGGGAGGCGGCGACCAAUGAAGGGGUUUGGGGUACGCCGAGAAAAUGGAGAUGGGAAAUUCCAGGUCGCAGUCUUCAAUCUUUCACAACAAUCGUCUUCUAAUCCCUUAAACUUGUCUUUUUCAACCAAUUUUGAUAACCCAAGAAAAUCUCAGGCGAAUGUAGGGUAGAUUUCGAUGAGUUUCACAGCAGAGGUUGGUGUGAAAUUGUCUUUGUAAGUAAUUUGGGGUGAGAAAAUAGUAGUCGGCGUUGGAUUAC
rnacentral:misc_RNA from 1 species